AUCGAACAUGAGUUUGAUCUUGGCUCAGAAUGAACGCUGUUAGUAUGCUUAACACAUGCAAGUUUAACAGAAAUUAUAUUUUUGUAGCGUACGGGUGAGUAAUAUGCAGAACUUUACCUUUUAAACCGUGAUAUUUGCUUUUAGCAAUUUUUUACACAUUGCUAAUUAAUGUGAUUUAAUCGCUAGUAAUAAUAACGGAUAAUAAAAAAAGAAAUAGUAGCUUAAAUUAUAGUUGCACUAUUUGUUAAAAGAUAACUCUGUGUAAGAUUAGGUAGUUGGUAAUUGUUAAUAGCUUACCAAGCCUGCGAUCUUUAGUUGGUCUGAGAGGACGAUCAACCACACUGGAACUGAAAUAAGGUCCAGGCUGAGUGUUCAGCCAGCAGUGAGGAAUAUUGGACAAUGAACGAAAGUUUGAUCCAGCAAUACUAAUUGAAUGAUGGACGGCGCAGUUUGCUGUAAAGUUCGGUUUUUAAUAGAAUGAUCAUGACAUUAUUAAAAAUUUAGUCCCGACAAAUACUCGUGCCAGCAGUCGCGGUAAUACGGGAGGGGCAAGCGUUAUUCGGAAUUACUGGGCGUAAAGAGUCCGUAGACUGUAAAAUAAGUUAAUUGUGAAAGCCUAUAGCUUAACUAUAGAAAAGCACUUAAUACUGUUUUACUUGAGUUUUUUGCGAAAAAGUGGAAUUUCGUGAGUAGAGCAAUUUCUAAGAUUCACGAAGGAAUACCGAACAGUGAAGACGACUUUUUGGUUUAAACUGACGUUGAGGGACGAAAGUAUAGGGAGCGAACAGGAUUAGAGACCCUGGUAGUCUAUACUGUAAAUUCUGAGUGCUGUAAUUUAAAAUUGAGUGUUCAGUUUUGGAUUUUUUUAAGCUAACGCCAUAAGCACUCCGCCUGAAGAGUACGGUCGCAAGGCUGGAACUUAAAAGAAUUGACGGGGGCCUACAACGAGUGGUGGAGCAUGUGGUUUAAUGCGAUAAUCCGCGCAAAACCUUACCAAUCCUUGAAUAAAUACGGAAUUUUAUUUUUUAUAAAAUUACUUUUAAACAUAUUUACAGGUGUUGCACGACUGUCAUCAGUUCGUGUCGUGAGAUGUUUGGUUUAUUCCUGUAACGAACGUAACUCUUAUUUUAAAAAUAACAAUUUUCACUAAUUUUUAGUUAGUUGAAAACCUAUUUUUAAAAACUUUUGAUGAUAAAUCUCAAGAAAGAGAACUAAGUCAAGUCUCUGUGGCCCUUAUGGAUUGGGCUACACACGUGCUACAAUGGAAAUUACAAUAAGUUACUAAAAAUGCAAAUUUAAGUUAAUCUUUAAAAAUUUUCUCAGUUCGGAUUAAAAGCUGCAACUCGCUUUUAUGAAGUUGGAAUCACUAGUAAUCGCAAAUCAGCAUCGUUGCGGUGAAUAUGUCACUUGGCCUUGUACACACCGCCCGUCACAUGCAGAAAGUUAGUUUGGCUUGAAAAUUUAUUAAAGUUUAGUUUUGUAAAAUAAUAAAAUUAAAUUUUGUAAAUUCAUUGAGAAAUUAAUGAUUUGGAUGAAGUCGUAACAAGGUAGCUGUACGGGAACGUGUAGCUGGAAAA
rnacentral:rRNA from 1 species